AAAGCUCAAAUUUAAAAUCUGGCGGCUUUGUCGUCCGAGUUGUAAUUUAGAGAAGUGUUACCCGUGUUGGACCGUGUACAAGUUCCCUGGAAUGGGGCGUCAUAGAGGGUGAGAAUCCCGUCUCUGACACGGACUCCCAAUGCAUUGUGGUGCGCUCUCGAAGAGUCGAGUUGUUUGGGAAUGCAGCUCAAAAUGGGUGGUAAAUUCCAUCUAAAGCUAAAUAUUGGGGAGAGACCGAUAGCGAA
rnacentral:rRNA from 1 species